UACGAAGGGGGCUAGCGUUGUUCGGAAUCACUGGGCGUAAAGCGUACGUAGGCGGACCAUUGAAGUCGGGGGUCGAAAUCCCAGGGCUCAACCCUGGAACUGCCUUCGAUACUGGUGGUCUGGAGUCCGGGAGAGGUGAGUGGAACUCCUAGUGUAGAGGUGAAAUUCGUAGAUAUUAGGAAGAACACCAGUGGCGAAGGCGGCUCACUGGCCCGGUACUGACGCUGAGGUACGAAAGCGUGGGGAGCAAACAGG
rnacentral:rRNA from 1 species